GCAAUUUGCAGUGGUUAGAAAUGACAAAGGAUGGGUGGUAGGAUCCAGAGAAAAAACAGUGAAACCCGAUGGACCUUAAAUAGAUCUGAGGGCACUGAUUUGAUUAUUUUGGGUGAAAUCUUUUAAGAAAAUCUUGUCAGAUUCUUCACAGAAAAUUUGGUAAAGCCUAUAUUUCAUCGCCAGCCUAGCAAAGUUCACCUUGUGCCCAACCUUCUGUCUCCCUGAGUCAGACCUGCAGACGAUUGCAUGCCACCAGCUGUCUUCACUCCUGAGAACAUGACACAAAGGAAUGCUCCCUGUCAAGUUCUUCAUUAUCCUUCUGAUGAAUUUCCCCUGGUUUAAACAAGUUGGUGGUAGACAGACCUUUCUCGCAUUUUCACAGACGUGCCAGGAGGAAACCCAGCGUCUCUCAGUUUCCUUUAAAUAUAUGAGAUACCAUGAAAGGAUUUGAGCGUUUUUUUAUGUGAAUCCAAAGAUGACAUUUACAAAAGGUGGAGAAGCAGUUCCCUACUGAGGGACGUGGAUACAAAAAGCAGAUGACACAACACAUCCCAUAGAGUUCCCAGGGAAGAAUGAACCCAGAUUCUUGACCUGCAGAGGUUAUCGCAGUCGACUUCAGGCUGGAACGGGCAUUGCUCUUGCACUGAAGAAAGUCUGUCCUGACUCCCUCAGAGUGCCUCAACAUCAACCAAGAGCCACCGUGAACCUCUGGGGCACUGAGCCUGGCCACCAGCACCCCCACCCCAGCCCAUAUGGCCUGGGCCUCUCCCUUGAUGUUUAAAGGAGAUGAUAAAAAUGCUGCAACCCAGAUAAUGAUCACCUUACUCUUCAAAAAUACUGCCCAAGUUCUUUGUUCAAGAUGCCAAGAACCUGGAUACCCUCCACUGGUAACAAAUAUGACUUUGUUUUUAGCAAGCAACUUUGCAGUGUAAUUAAGUUAAGGAUCUUGAGAUGAGAUCAUCUUGGAAUAUCUGGGUGGGCCCUAAAUCCAAUGACAAGUGUCCUCAUAGGAAGGGAAGAUACACACAGAGGAGAAGGUGGUGUGAAGAUGGAAGCCAAGACUGUUGAUACCAGUUGGAGAGCACCAAGAACUACCCGCAGCCACUGAAAGCUAGGAGAGAGGCAUAGGACUGUCUCCUUCAGACCCUCCAGAAAGACCAAACCUGCCCGUGCCUUGAUUUCAGACUUUUGGCCUCCCACAUUGUGAGAGAAUAAAAUUUUGUUUUUGAAGCCA